rnacentral:lncRNA from 1 species
AUGUUAGAUGAAAUUCAGUGCCAUCAAAUGAGGCCUCCAUUCCUCCACCUGCGCAUUAUGGCGCUCGUAAACGCGUUAUCAGCUCGUGAAAGUGAUGGCAAACAGGUGACUGAGGGCUCCGAGGAGUCAGCCGCAAAGAUGAGCGGUGCUUCUCCGAGGAAGCUGUGCGAGGUUCCCCCGUUUACCACAAUCGUGGCAGGUGAAUUUGCAGCACUUAAAUCAUUAUCGGCAAUUAGUCCUUGUCAGAAGGGCUGCAGCUGGCUUCAAUUACAGAUAAGUAAAACAGAAAUAAAAAAAGCAGAGCUACGUGGAGCCAGUACUGCACACCUGCCACGUGGAGCCAGUACUACAGACCUGCCACGUGGAGCCAGUACUGCCCACCUGCCACGUGCAGCCAGUACUGCACACCUGCCACGUGGAGCCAGUACUGCACACCUGCCACGUGGAGCCAGUACUACCCACCUGCCACGUGAGCCAGUACUACCCACCUGCCACGUGGAGCCAGUACUACCCACCUGCCACGUGAGCCAGUACUACAGACCUGCCACGUGGAGCCAGUACUACAGACCUGCCACGUGGAGCCAGUACUGCCCACCUGCUACAUGGGGCCAGUACUGUGUACCUGCCACGUGGAGCCAGUACUGCACACCUGCUAUGUGCAGCCAGUACUACACACCUGCCACGUGGAGCCAGUACUACAGACCUGCCACGUGGAGCCAGUACUACCCACCUGCCACGUGGAGCCAGUACUACACACCUGCCACGUGCAGCCAGUACUGCACACCUGCCACGUGGAGCCAGUACUACCCACCUGCCACGUGGAGCCAGUACUACACACCUGCCACGUGGAGCCAGUACUGCACACCUGCCACGUGGAGCCAGUACUACACACCUGCCACGUGGAGCCAGUACUGCACACCUGCCACGUGGAGCCAGUACUGCAGACCUGCCACGUGGAGCCAGUACUACACACCUGCCACGUGGAGCCAGUACUACCCACCUGCUACAUUCUCUACAAGGCGACCAUCACCAAGGAGACAGAGAAUCUCCAUUCACAGAGCUGCCACAGACGGGGAGCAAGUCCUGGGAGCCGAGUUCCGGAAACACCAGUCCAGGAGGCACCGGCCCCAGUUCCUGGUUCGGGUCCCGGCAGGUGUCCUGCUUCCUCAUGCGUUUGCCACCCAGGGCUUCUCAGCUGUGACCCCCAGCCUGUGGCCCCUGCGCAGGCCUCCAUGCACGCUCCUGGCCUCCCACGUGCUGCCGCCUCUCGGGCCCUGGGGGGUUUCUCAUCCUCAGCGCCGGGUGCAGCUCAGACUCUGCUUCCUCCAGGAAGCUCUCCCAGCUCUGGACUUAGCUCUUUUCUACCCUGAGACUCCCUGUGGACACCACACGGAUCUGUCAUCUUUCACUCACAGGUGCACUCUCCCAGGAGCCUCCUGCACCCUGUGACCCCGCAGUGCCCAGCCAGGACGGGGCAUUCCGCACGUGCUCGGCGCCCAGCCCGUCUGUGGAUUCAGCUGCAUUGGAGGGUCUCUCUUCUGCAUCAUGGGUCACCCACGGAGCCCAGGAAAUGCUGUGGUGGCCCAGGGGUCAGGGGUCAGGGGUCAGGGGCUGCGGCGUCACGUCCCAAGGCCGAGUUCCAUGAUCCUUUGCAACACGGAUGUGCUGGGGAACAGCCGGGACUCCUCUCGAAUGGAGGCAGAUCUGGCACAAGCUCUGUGAGUCUGUGCGUGUGUGUGUGUGUGUGUGGCUAUGUGCGUAUGCAUGUCUCUAUGUGCAUGUAUGUAUAUGUAUGCAUGUGUCACUAUGUCUGUGUAUG